AGAAAAUCCCUUGUGAUUUUCAUCACACAGUGCCUGGGGAAAUUCUCCGAAUACGAGGCUAGAAAGUAGCAGCGAGAAAUCGUGAAAACCUGUGAAAAGGAACCAGCGAAGACAUGGGCAUGUGUGUUAUUACACGUAUGGUCACGAGCAUAUGUUCUGAUAUAAGCGGGCCGGAUUCAUUGUAAUAAAGUCAUUCGAUGCACACCACUUGUGGUGUUGAACCCAACGGAGAUUACUCUCGG
rnacentral:RNase_MRP_RNA from 1 species